rnacentral:rRNA from 1 species
CCUACGGGUGGCUGCAGUGGGGAAUAUUGCGCAAUGGGGGCAACCCUGAUGCAGCAACGCCGCGUGAGUGAUGACGGCCUUCGGGUUGUAAAGCUCUGUCUUCAGGGACGAUAAUGACGAUACCUGCUGAGGAAUCCACGGCUAACUACGACCCGCCAGCCGCGGUCGUACGUAGUGGGCUGGCGUUAUCCGGAAUUACUGGGCGAAAGGGGGGCGGAGGUGGUGUCUGAAGUCAGAGGUGAAAGGCUACGGCUCAACCGUAGUAAGCCUUUGAAACUGGGUAACUUGAGUGCAGGAGAGGAGAGUGGAAUUCCUAGUGUAGCGGUGAAAUGCGUAGAUAUUAGGAGGAACACCAGUUGCGAAGGCGGCUCGCUGGACUGUAACUGACACUGAGGCACGAAAGCGUGGGGAGCAAACAGGAUUAGAUACCCGGGUAGUC